rnacentral:misc_RNA from 1 species
GGAAGUAAAAGUCGUAACAAAGUUUCCGUAGGUGAACCUGCGGAAGGAUCAUUAUUAUAUAACCGAGGUGCGAGGGCUGUCGCUGACCCGAAAGGUCGUGCACGCCCGAGUGCCCUCACACACAUCCAUCUCACCCCUAUGUGCACCACCGCGUGGGUCCCCCUUUGGCUUGUUCGGAGGGGGGCUUACGUUUUCACACAAACUUUGUAUGCAGUGUAGAAUGUAUUUUUUGUUUUUGCGAUCACGCAAUCAAUACAACUUUCAACAACGGAUCUCUUGGCUCUC